GAUGAACGCUGGCGGCGUGCCUAAUACAUGCAAGUCGAGCGAACAGACGAGGAGCUUGCUCCUCUGACGUUAGCGGCGGACGGGUGAGUAACACGUGGAUAACCUACCUAUAAGACUGGGAUAACUUCGGGAAACCGGAGCUAAUACCGGAUAAUAUAUUGAACCGCAUGGUUCAAUAGUGAAAGACGGUUUUGCUGUCACUUAUAGAUGGAUCCGCGCCGCAUUAGCUAGUUGGUAAGGUAACGGCUUACCAAGGCAACGAUGCGUAGCCGAUCUGAGAGGGUGAUCGGCCACACUGGAACUGAGACACGGUCCAGACUCCUACGGGAGGCAGCAGUAGGGAAUCUUCCGCAAUGGGCGAAAGCCUGACGGAGCAACGCCGCGUGAGUGAUGAAGGUCUUCGGGUCGUAAAACUCUGUUAUUAGGGAAGAACAAAUGUGUAAGUAACUAUGCACGUCUUGACGGUACCUAAUCAGAAAGCCACGGCUAACUACGUG
rnacentral:rRNA from 1 species